GCCCCCAUGUGAAAAGGCCCUUCUGGGCCACACAUUUGUCAGCCCCGUCCUAGGGACCGAGGCUGCAGAGACCAGCGGGACACGGCCCCAUCCUCAGCAAACCCAGCGCCCUCCACCUCAUCCCGUGAUCCUUCCGGUAGAGCCUCACACGCUUCCGGUAGUGACACACUCAGCAGCUCCUUUCCGCCACCACCCGGACGGAUGGUCUGUGGGAUCACAGCGCUUGGGAGAAGCGCUCUGAGAGAGAACCUAGUUUUUCAUUCCCCCGUUUAAUGAGCCACUGUUCUAGUUUAGAUACUUUGCUAGGUGCUGGGGCAGCCAUAAGUAAAUCAGAGCCCCUGACCGCUCACCCAACCCAAGUUCUGGGCCUGGUGCUUUAUAUGUGUGACCCCCCUGUGAUCUUCCACCAACCCGUGAGGUAGAGGCGUUGCCACUCGCAUUUUACAGAUGAGAAAUCCACAGCACAGAGAGGUCCAGUAACUUGCCAGGUUACACAGCUCAUAAGGAGGAAAGGUCAGAUUCAAGCACAUGUUUGAAUACCCAAAUCCACGUGUUUAACCUCUAAGUUAACGAUGUGUCGCUUCUCACGCCAUAUGCUUGGGGCCGUGAUAACAUCUUUGUUGUGGUAACAAAGAAGAGGGAGGCCAGCCGCUGAGUCUAAAGCUCAAGGACUCUAAGGAGGAGUAGGCAUUGACCAAGCCAAGAGCAUUCUUGUUUUUCUGGGGAGGAAACUGAGGCCCCAAAGAGAAACUGUCUCACCCAAGGCCGCACUGGUAUCAGGGCAGGCUGGAGCAGGAACCCAGCAGGAAAGGGACCCCAGGCAGGUAGCCCCCUUAGAACAGAGGCUGCAGUCAUGUCACCUGGAUAUGACAACGGAGGAGAGUGGCCCUCAGGGAGGUCAGAUGCCCAUUUGCAUUGAGAAUGGCCAGUUGAGUUGGUUUCUAGUGCUGCUCAGCGGGAUGGCUCUGGGUUCCCUACGGAGGUUGGCAGACCAGUCCUUUUACCACCAGAAUAGUGGGAAAGACUUGGACAGGCUUCUAUCCAAACCCCAACUCUACCACUCGAGCUCUGUGUGACCUUGGGCCAAGGGCUUGACUACCCAUGCCUCUGUUCACCGCCGUGACAAAUGGCGUUUGGAACGAGAACUUCCAGGUGUCGUGAGGUUUAAGUGGGUUGCUUACUCCUCAUGGAGUGCUUGGCGUGAUGCCCAGGAAGUGGAGGUUGUUAAUAGCUGAGGCAGGUGUUGGGCUGUGGCCUUGACAUUCCCAAGCUACUGUGGAAGCCUGCUUCCAUUCUUGUGCCAUUGCUCAGGGAGCCAUCUCAAACCCUUUGAGCUCCCCUCACACAUACACACACCCCGUUCAUCUCUCCGUCGGGGCUACAUGCCUCUGUCCACCUCGCCACCAUCAGUGUCUUAAACUCUGCAUUUGGCUCCCUGCCGCCGGACCCACCACGCAGCCCCUCUUGGCACUCUUGCCAAAGCCCCUAACGAUCUCUGUUUUAACUACAACCCAACAUGGCCUGGGACGUUGGUGAUCACUCCCUCUUUGUUUCUUACUGUUUGUUUAUUUUUGAGAGAGGAGAGAGUGCGGGAGAGGGGCGGAGAGAGAGAGAAUCCCAGGCAGACUGCACUGACAGCCGAGAGCCGGAUGUGGGCUCAAACUCACAAACUGUGAGAUCGUGACCUGAGCCAAAGUCAGAGGCUUAAUCGUCUGAACCACCCAGGCACCCCGGGGAUCAUUCUCUCUUGCCUGAAGCUGUCCCAUUAGGCCCUUUUUGCCACCAGGAGGUCAGCUCAGGUUUAUAGUAAACUGGACAGGCAUGGUAAUCCAGUGAGAGCUUGACAGCUGGGCCACGGGGUCUUCUUCCUCAUGGUCUCCCUCUCGCCUGGCUGUAUGUGGUCUUUGGUGACUGGCUUCUUUCAGUUAGCAGAGUGUUUUCGAGGUUCAUCCACAUUGGAGCGUGUGUCAGUAUUUCAUUCAUUUUUAUUGCCAGAUAAUAUUCCAUGGCAAGGUAGGCCGCGUUUGAUUUAUCCACGCAUCAACUGGUGGAUAUCUGGGUGGCUUCCACUUUUUGGCUAUUACAGACAACGCUGCUCGAACGUUCCUGUACAAGUUUUGAUGCAGACGUGUUUUAUAAACUCUUGGAUAUACACCUAGGAGAGCAGUGGUUCCUCUUGAUGCUUUGUCUUAACAUGCUCUAAACCAAAUGUAUCAUUUUCUCCUAAGCCAGCAUCACCUCCGGUUUGCUGAGAAUCCCUCGAAGGCACCCUUUUCCUCAAGCAAAACUUCCAAGCCUGGGGGAGUUUCUCCCUCCUCUGUGCCUGGGGCCCCUGCCUCUUCAGCUUCCGUUCUGUAUUCUCUUCUCUCUUUUGCCCCCGCUACUGGUUGGACUCGGAUCCUCGUCUUCUUGCAACUGGACUGUCGGCACGGGCUCCCAGCGCGGACCUCAACCUGCCUUUCCCACUCCUUUCCAUUCUGAGCUGCAGUGAGUGAGUCUCCCUGGAGCCACCCGCCCCCCCUCAGCUGCCUGCCAUGACUCCCCAUUGCCUAGCCGAGGGUCCCCUGAUCUCUCGCCCUUAGGCCUUCCGGGCACACUGUCUCAUCCCGAGUCUCCUUUCCAGACGUACCUCCUAUCUCUGUCCCCAGGUGCCGCACCUCCAGCCGCAUCAUACUCCCCUGGUGCUGCCCUAACUGCUACAUUUUCUCUCUUUGGAUGCCCUUCUCUGUCUUUAUCCGUUUGACUCCUCUCUACCUUUCACAGUUAAAUUCAAACGCUGCCUCUGACAUUAGGCCUUUUCAAUUUAAUUUGACUGAUAUU